AAUCAACGCUGGCGGCGUGCCUAACACAUGCAAGUCGAACGCGAAAGUCCCGCAAGGGAUCAGUAGAGUGGCAAACGGGUGAGUAACACGUGGGUGACCUGCCUUCGAGCGGGGGAUAACGUCCCGAAAGGGACGCUAAUACCGCAUGACAUCCUGCCUUUGAAGAGGUGGAGAUCAAAGCUGGGGAUCGCAAGACCUAGCACUCGAAGAGGGGCCCGCGCCUGAUUAGCUAGUGUGGGUAACGGCUCACCAAGGCGACGAUCAGUAGCCGGCCUGAGAGGGCGGACGGCACACUGGGACUGAGACACGGCCCAGACUCCUACGGGAGGCAGCAGUGGGGAAUUGUUCGCAAUGGGCGCAAGCCUGAC
rnacentral:rRNA from 1 species